GCGCCAGUGGCGGAAUCAGGCAGACGCGCAGGACUUAGGAUCCUGUGUCCGAGAGGACGUGUGGGUUCGAUUCCCACCUGGCGCA
rnacentral:tRNA from 1 species